GGAUGUGAGGGCAAUCUGGCUGCGACAUCUGUCACCCCAUUGAUUGCCAGGUUGAUUCGGCUGAUCUGGCUGGCUAGGUGGGUGUCCCCUUCUUCCCUCAUUGCUCCAUGUGUGUCCCUCCCCAAGCUGCGUGCUCAGUCGAAGAGGCCGACCUUCCCCGAAUAGAGGAGGACUGGCCUUUGGUCAAAGGUAAACAAGUAGCUGUGUUCCCCUGCUAGAACCUCCAAGCAAGUUCUCAAAAGUCUAAUCCCCAUAUUCUUAAGCAAUGAGUUAUGGCCACAUAUAGAGGGUCU
rnacentral:snRNA from 1 species